rnacentral:rRNA from 1 species
ACCCACAUCCACAAUUGCAACCGAGGCCUUCGGGCUGAUUGGGCACAUUGUGGGGACUGCCUUCGAAAGGAGGAGGAAGGUGUGGGCAACGGUAGGUCUGUAUGCCUCGAAUCCUUUGGGCUACACGCGCGCAACAACGGUAGGGACAAUGGGACGCAACUCCGAGAGGAGAAGCUAAACCUCUAAACCCUAUCUUAGUCCAGAUCGAGGGCUGCAACUCGCCCUCGUGACGUUGGAAUCCCUAGUAAUCGGACGUCAACACCGUCCGGUGAACAU